CUGCUUUUAUAAGGGAAUAAAGUGAGUCUCGUGAGACUUUUUGCAUGUACCUUAUGAAUAAGGACCGGCUAAUUCCGUGCCAGCAGCCGCGGUAAUACGGAAGGUCCGGGCGUUAUCCGGAUUUAUUGGGUUUAAAGGGAGCGUAGGCCGGAGAUUAAGCGUGUUGUGAAAUGUAGACGCUCAACGUCUGCACCGCAGCGCGAACUGGUUUCCUUGAGUACGCACAAAGUGGGCGGAAUUCGUGGUGUAGCGGUGAAAUGCUUAGAUAUCACGAAGAACUCCGAUUGCGAAGGCAGCUCACUGGAGCGCAACUGACGCUGAAGCUCGAAAGUGCGGGUAUCGAACAGGAUUAGAUACCCUGGUAGUCCGCACGGUAAACGAUGGAUGCCCGCUGUUGGUCUGAAUAGGUCAGCGGCCAAGCGAAAGCAUUAAGCAUCCCACCUGGGGAGUACGCCGGCAACGGUGCAACUCAAAUGAAUUGACGG
rnacentral:rRNA from 1 species